UACAGAGGUCCCGAGCGUUGUUCGGAUUCACUGGGCGUAAAGGGUGCGUAGGUGGCCAGGUAAGUUUGGUGUGAAAGCUCGGAGCUUAACUCCGAAAUGUCAUUGAAUACUAUCUGGCUGGAGGGUCGGAGGGGAGACUGGAAUUCUCGGUGUAGCAGUGAAAUGCGUAGAUAUCGAGAGGAACACCAGUGGCGAAGGCGAGUCUCUGGACGACUCCUGACACUGAGGCACGAAAGCUAGGGGAGCAAACAGG
rnacentral:rRNA from 1 species